UAGGGAAUCUUCGGCAAUGGGGGGAACCCUGACCGAGCAACGCCGCGUGAGUGAAGAAGGUUUUCGGUUCGUAAAGCUCUGUUGUUAAGGAAGAACGAGUGUGAGAAUGGAAAGUUCAUGCUGUGACGGUACUUAACCAGAAAGGGACGGCUAACUACGUGCCAGCAGCCGCGGUAAUACGUAGGUCCCGAGCGUUGUCCGGAUUGAUUGGGCGUAAAGCGAGCGCAGGCGGUUAGAAAAGUCUGAAGUGAAAGGCAGUGGCUCAACCAUUGUAGGCUUUGGAAACGGGUUAACUUGAUUGCAGAAGGGGGGGGUGGAAUUCCAUGGGUAGCGGUGGAAUACGUAGAUAUAUGGAGGAACAACGGUGGCGGAAGCGGCUCUCUGGUCUGUAACUGACGCUGAGGCUCGGAAGCGUGGGGGGCGAACAGG
rnacentral:rRNA from 1 species